GACGAACGCUGGCGGCGUGCUUAACACAUGCCAGUCGAACGAAGUGGCGCACGGGUGAGUAACGCGUAAUCAACCUGCCCUUCAGAGGGGGACAACAGUUGGAAACGACUGCUAAUACCGCAUACUGAAGGAGGGGAUUGCGUCUGAUUAGCUAGUUGGGGGGGUAACGGCCGACCAAGGCGAUGAUCAGUAGCCGGUCUGAGAGGCUGAACGGCCACAUGGGGACGGAGACACGGCCCAGACUCCUACGGGAGGCAGCAGUGGGGAAUCUGCCGCAAUGGACGAAAGUCUGACGGAGCAACGCCGCGUGAGUGAUGACGGCCUUCGGGUGGUAAAGCUCUGUUAAUCGGGACGCGGUACCGGAAUAGAAAGCCACGGCUAACUACGUGCCAGCAGCCGCGGUAAUUC
rnacentral:rRNA from 1 species